CGGGGUGCAGCAGGCGCGAAAACUUUACAAUGCUGGCAACAGCGAUAAGGGGACCUCGAGUGCCAGGAUACAAUCUUGGCUGUCGCGAUGCCUAAAAAGCAUUGCAUAGCAAGGGCCGGGCAAGACCGGUGCCAGCCGCCGCGGUAACACCGGCGGCUCGAGUGGUAACCGCUAUUAUUGGGUCUAAAGGGUCUGUAGCCGGCCGGAUAAGUCUUUUGGGAAAUCCAGCUGCCCAACAGUUGGGCUUUCAGAAGAUACUGUUCGGCUCGAGACCGGGAGAGGUGAGAGGUACUUCAGGGGUAGGGGUGAAAUCUUGUAAUCCUUGAAGGACCACCAGUGGCGAAGGCGUCUCACCAGAACGGAUCUGACGGCAAGGGACGAAAGCUAGGGGCACGAACCGGAUUAGAUACCCGGGUAGUCCUAGCCGUAAACGAUACUCGCUAGGUGUCAGCCACGGUGCGACCGUGGUUGGUGCCGUAGGGAAGCCGUGAAGCGAGCCACCUGGGAAGUACGGCCGCAAGGCUGAAACUUAAAGGAAUUGGCGGGGGAGCAC
rnacentral:rRNA from 1 species